rnacentral:rRNA from 1 species
AGAUUAAGUUAUUAAGGGCGCACGGUGGAUGCCUUGGCACUAGAAGCCGACGAAGGACGUUACUAACGACGAUAUGCUUUGGGUAGCUGUAAGUAAGCGUUGAUCCAGAGAUUUCCGAAUGGGGGAACCCAACACGAGUUAUGUCGUGUUAUCGACAAGUGAAUUCAUAGCUUGUCAGAAGGCAGACCCGGAGAACUGAAACAUCUUAGUACCCGGAGGAAGAGAAAGAAAAAUCGAUUCCCUGAGUAGCGGCGAGCGAAACGGGAAGAGCCCAAACCAAUAAGCUUGCUUAUUGGGGUUGUAGGACACUCUAUACGGAGUUACAAAGGAAUAUGUUAGACGAAUCAUCUGGAAAGUUGAAUCAAAGAAGGUAAUAAUCCUGUAGUUGAAAAUAUAUUCUCUCUUGAGUGGAUCCUGAGUACGACGGAGCACGUGAAAUUCCGUCGGAAUCUGGGAGGACCAUCUCCUAAGGCUAAAUACUCUCUAGUGACCGAUAGUGAACCAGUACCGUGAGGGAAAGGUGAAAAGUACCCCGGAAGGGGAGUGAAAGAGAACUUGAAACCGUGUGCUUACAAGUAGUCAGAGCCCGUUAAUGGGUGAUGGCGUGCCUUUUGUAGAAUGAACCGGCGAGUUACGAUCUGAUGCAAGGUUAAGCAGGAAAUGUGGAGCCGUAGCGAAAGCGAGUCUGAAUAGGGCGUUGAGUAUUUGGUCGUAGACCCGAAACCAGGUGAUCUACCCAUGGUCAGGUUGAAGUUCAGGUAACACUGAAUGGAGGACCGAACCGACUUACGUUGAAAAGUGAGCGGAUGAACUGUGGGUAGCGGAGAAAUUCCAAUCGAACUUGGAGAUAGCUGGUUCUCUCCGAAAUAGCUUUAGGGCUAGCCUCAAGUGAUGAUUAUUGGAGGUAGAGCACUGUUUGGACGAGGGGCCCCUCUCGGGUUACCGAAUUCAGACAAACUCCGAAUGCCAAUUAAUUUAACUUGGGAGUCAGAACAUGGGUGAUAAGGUCCGUGUUCGAAAGGGAAACAGCCCAGACCACCAGCUAAGGUCCCAAAAUAUAUGUUAAGUGGAAAAGGAUGUGGCGUUGCCCAGACAACUAGGAUGUUGGCUUAGAAGCAGCCAUCAUUUAAAGAGUGCGUAAUAGCUCACUAGUCGAGUGACACUGCGCCGAAAAUGUACCGGGGCUAAACAUAUUACCGAAGCUGUGGAUUGUCCGUAGGACAAUGGUAGGAGAGCGUUCUAAGGGCGUUGAAGCAUGAUCGCAAGGACAUGUGGAGCGCUUAGAAGUGAGAAUGCCGGUGUGAGUAGCGAAAGACGGGUGAGAAUCCCGUCCACCGAUUGACUAAGGUUUCCAGAGGAAGGCUCGUCCGCUCUGGGUUAGUCGGGUCCUAAGCUGAGGCCGACAGGCGUAGGCGAUGGAUAACAGGUUGAUAUUCCUGUACCACCUAGUAUCGUUUUAAUCGAUGGGGGGACGCAGUAGGAUAGGCGAAGCGUACGAUUGGAUUGUACGUCUAAGCAGUGAGAU